ACUAUGUGGGCGAGGUGACACCAGGAGUAUAUAAAGCAUUUUGUGGGAUGUCAUCUCAUAAUUUCUUUUCAUUCAUCCCCUGUGCAGCUCUUCUUUCAUUUACAUCACAGAACAGCAAUGGCAGCAGCAGCAGCUUUGUCCAGAAGCAGAGCAUUGGCUGGAGGCCUGUACUUCCUCCUCACUCUGCUGUGUCUGGUUUGCCUCACAAGUUCACUGAAAACUGGAAAAUAUGAAGGAGAGCCUUAAGAAAGCACAACAAAACCUGGACAAACUGAAGGCAGAAAAGGACACCCCUUCAGAGCUGAUAAGUGAAUAUAUGAGCUUCAUGGAGCCAAUGAUGGGAUUUAUGAAGAGAAUCUCCAAAGAUUUACCUGAUGACUUUCCAUCACUUUUUGGUUUCAUGGAGAACAUCAAGGGCUUCAUGGAGAAAAUCAAGACCUAUGUAGAUAGGAAGAAUGUGGAGAUGGAUGCAAAAAUAGCAAAACUUGAAAAGGACCUGGGAAAUGCAGAGAAAUUCAUUAAAGCCCUUGAGGGGUAUCAAACUGAAUUGUAAUUUCCAUGUCAAUCAGUGUCUCUAUCUCUGAUACUGCAUCUGUUGUAUCUGUUAAGCUUCUCUUUCUUAUUGUGGAGAUCAUUUUUUGUUUCUAUACACUGGCCUUUAAAUCAUGAAUUCCUUUGACAUAGGAUCUUGGAGAAGUGCAGGCAUGUGAAAUGUGUUGAUAUACCAGCAAUGUUUAAUUAAUGUAUAUUCAUAUGUAAAUGAUAUACAUACAUUUGGAUGUACACCAUCAUCUAUCAUUAGCGUUGUAUCCUGAUGAUGUAUCCAGGUGCAUCGCAAGGUUGGAUAAAGUGAUGGGUGCAACCAUUACAAUGUGUUUAAAGUGUCAAAGUGGAAACAAUGUUACAAAAUGACAUUUGACAAAAAA